UACGUAGGGUGCGAGCGUUGUCCGGAAUUACUGGGCGUAAAGAGCUCGUAGGUGGUUUGUCGCGUUGUUCGUGAAAACCGGGGGCUUAACCCUCGGCGUGCGGGCGAUACGGGCAGACUGGAGUACUGCAGGGGAGACUGAAAUUCCUGGUGUAGCGGUGGAAUGCGCAGAUAUCAGGAGGAACACCGGUGGCGAAGGCGGGUCUCUGGGCAGUAACUGACGCUGAGGAGCGAAAGCGUGGGGAGCGAACAGG
rnacentral:rRNA from 1 species